rnacentral:rRNA from 1 species
UGCCAGCAGCCGCGGUAAUACGUAGGUGGCAAGCGUUGUCCGGAUUUAUUGGGCGUAAAGCGAGCGCAGGCGGUGAUUUAAGUCUGAUGGAAAGCCCCCAGCUCAACUGGGGAGGGUCAUUGGAAACUGGAUCACUUGAGUGCAGAAGAGGAGAGUGGAAUUCCAUGUGUAGCGGUGAAAUGCGUAGAUAUAUGGAGGAACACCAGUGGCGAAGGCGGCUCUCUGGUCUGUAACUGACGCUGAGGCUCGAAAGCGUGGGUAGCAAACAGGAUUAGAUACCCUGGUAGUCCACGCCGUAAACGAUGAGUGCUAAGUGUUGGAGGGUUUCCGCCCUUCAGUGCUGCAGUUAACGCAUUAAGCACUCCGCCUGGGGAGUACGACCGCAAGGUUGAAACUCAAAGGAAUUGACGGGGGCCCGCACAAGCGGUGGAGCAUGUGGUUUAAUUCAAAGCAACGCGAAGAACCUUACCAGGUCUUGACAUCCUUUGACCGCCCUAGAGAUAGGGUUUCCCCUUCGGGGGCAAAGUGACAGGUGGUGCAUGGUUGUCGUCAGCUCGUGUCGUGAGAUGUUGGGUUAAGUCCCGUAACGAGCGCAACCCUUAUUGUUAGUUGCCAGCAUUGAGUUGGGCACUCUAGCAAGACUGCCGGUGACAAACCGGAGGAAGGCGGGGAUGACGUCAAAUCAUCAUGCCCCUUAUGACCUGGGCUACACACGUGCUACAAUGGGAAGUACAACGAGCAAGCCAAGCCGCAAGGCCUAGCGAAUCUCUGAAAGCUUCUCUCAGUUCGGAUUGCAGGCUGCAACUCGCCUGCACGAAGCCGGAAUCGCUAGUAAUCGCGGAUCAGCAUGCCGCGGUGAAUCCGUUCCCGGGCCUUGUACACACCGCCCGUCACACCACGAGAGCUU